AGUGAACGCUGGCGGUAGGCCUAACACAUGCAAGUCGAACGGCAGCACAGUAAGAGCUUGCUCUUACGGGUGGCGAGUGGCGGACGGGUGAGGAAUACAUCGGAAUCUACUUUUUCGUGGGGAAUAACGUAGGGAAACUUACGCUAAUACCGCAUACGACCUACGGGUGAAAGCAGGGGAUCUUCGGACCUUGCGCGAUUGAAUGAGCCGAUGUCGGAUUAGCUAGUUGGCGGGGUAAAGGCCCACCAAGGCGACGAUCCGUAGCUGGUCUGAGAGGAUGAUCAGCCACACUGGGACUGAGACACGGUCCAGACUCCUACGGGAGGCAGCAGUGGGGAAUAUUGGACAAAGGGCGCAAGCCUGAUCCAGCCAUACCGCGUGGGUGAAGAAGGCCUUCGGGUUGUAAAGCCCUUUUGUUGGGAAAGAAAAGCAGCAGGUUAAUACCCCGCUGUUCUGACGGUACCCAAAGAAUAAGCACCGGCUAACUUCGUG
rnacentral:rRNA from 1 species